GCAUCGGGGGUGGCCUCUUCCUCACCAUCUACAACAGCACCACACGAAAAGCUGAGGUCAUCAACGCCCGCGAGGUGGCCCCCAGGCUGGCCUUUGCCAGCAUGUUCAACAGCUCGGAGCAGUCCCAGAAGGGGGGGCUGUCAGUGGCAGUGCCUGGGGAGAUCCGAGGCUAUGAGCUGGCACAUCAGCGGCAUGGGCGGCUGCCCUGGGCUCGCCUCUUCCAGCCCAGCAUCCAGCUGGCCCGCCAGGGCUUCCCUGUGGGCAAGGGCUUGGCGGCAGCCCUGGAAAACAAGCGGACCGUCAUCGAGCAGCAGCCUGUCUUGUGGUAUGUCUGUGGGUGCGGCCCCCUGACACAGGCAGGGCAGGCACAGCCCAAGGACCUUGCAGGCUGUAGCAGCAGUGGAGCGGCCCUCUGCCUUCAGGACCCUGUGCUGAUAAUGGGAUGAGGAGAUACAGACCCUUCCCACCACGUGUGGGGACACAUUCUGAGCGUGGGGUCCCAGUGGCCACUGUGGCUGGCCAUGUGUCCUGAGUGGCAAGGGACACUAGGAGGUUCCCGGAAGGGACACUAGGAGGACGAGCGCUGAGUGACAGGGCCACCCACCUGUGACAGGCGCUGCCCCUGCUUUGUGCUGGUC
rnacentral:sRNA from 1 species